GGCUGCCACUAACGUGAGCUUUCCGCUUAGUCCCAAAGGCCGAGGAACUUAGGAGCGAGGCCGAGGUUGCCGCUGUCGAGGCCAAAAAAGGUUUUGUAAGGGCCCCCAGAUGCCUUGUUCAACUUGAUAGAGCGACCCCAGCUUCUUCAAGCUCACUUCCACUGAACUUUUAACCCCUUGGUGUCAGCCUUACAGGUAUCCAGGGCAGGUUUCCUCUGAUUUUUUUUUUUUCUUUUUCCUCAUUUCCUUUCCUUUUUGUUUUUCUUGGUUUUUAAGUUUUAAGCUGAGAACAAUCUUGCAGAAGGAAUCUACUGGUAAGGACCUGAGUUUACAAGUGUGAGCAUUUUUGCUAAUCAGGUAAAAACAGGGAAGCCAGGCAAAACAUACCCCGUGUUAAACCUGAUGCAGACUGCGAUGUGUGGUAACGAUGCAGAAAGCCUGAGCAGGACACGUAAAUGACGCUGGAGCACAGGAAACAGGAAAGAACUUGUCCCUAGCACCUGAAUUUCUUCAUUCGUUUUGGGGACAGAGGAGAGAAUGAUCCUGUGGAGCAGAGCUUCUCAAAGUAUGGUGCACAGAGAAUCGAGGGGUCCCUGAGACUCAUGACCCCGAGCACACAUAGCCUUACCCUGAUCGCCCACAACCUCAGGUUCUAGCCACUGGAUACACGUCCUUCCUGGGACCACAGCCUUGUGUUUCAUCACAGGCCACACAGAGUUGAGCUAGUUUCCAAUAAAUCUUCCUGCCGGGGCAGGCCUAUCUCAGCAUCCCUCCUGAGUGCGACCAGAUAACAUCUGUAUUUCCAGUAAAGCCAGAGUACAAGAAAGGGUCAAGGCUACCCUGGGGGCUGGAGUGUAAUGGAUUCAAGGAAAUGCCAAUGUGAAGGAUUUAUUUGGAGUAACAGAAGGGGAGCUACUUGGCAAACUGCGCUUCCUCACUUGGGAACUCUGUGGUGCUACCUCCAGGUAGGAGCAAGAAAGUGAUGUCUGGGAUCCAAGAAUCACCUCGGGGCUAGAGUCAUCUUGCGCCCAAUCCUGCAUCUAGCGCACGGCCCAACAGGCUGGAAAAUCCAGGAACCCAUCAGUCUUUGUCUCUGCAAACCUGAUCGGACAACUUUAAUGACAUACAUUUGAUGGAAGCCAAAGCAGAGAGGGUAGUUAUUUUUAGCCUGGGCAAGGAAAAGGUGGCUGGAAAGGAAACAUCUGUCCCCAACUAUUGAUUGUUGCACUUUCCAUGGAGGUCUUUUCUUUCUUGAAACCAUCACAUAAAAUAAGGUGGUUGGUUGGGGCCUGGCUCGGGGAACAUACCUCCCUUCUCCCCUCUCCUACUGCUUAUCUUCUGAGUUAGGGCUACGCCUAAAAGAGACCACCUCAGAGGCAGCGGGUGGGGGGAAUGGGUCAAGGACAGCCCAAUUCCUAUGAAUUUUUCAGACUCCUCCUAGUUUACCAUCUUCAUCCAAGAUGGCCCCACCCUUUAGGGUACAAAUUUUGCAGACUUCCCAGCUGGGAAUCACCAGAGGUCUCAGGCUGUGAGAAUCAGACCUCUGAGAGCCAGAACACUCUCCUCGGCUGUGCUGGUGUCUGACCUUUGAGCAGAGUUGUUCUUUCUUCCAUAACAGCAAAAAACUUCCCUUUCCUUCAAAACAUGGCAGCCUCCUACAUGUCCGUCUGAGGGGGAGGAAAGGCGCAGGUGUGCCAGCAAGGAGGCAGGGAGCUCUUUUCGCCUCAGCAGAAGCAUUUUCCAUUUCUGAGCACACACAGCAAGGCUGAAUGUAGCCACAGAGGCUCAAGAUGGAUAACGUGAAGGAUGUAUAGACGCAGCGCUGGGCUCGGGCUGCGCACAGCCAGGACUCAGCAGCUCUGUGCCUGUGGACGACGGCAUGAAAAUGGCUCCUCCGGAAAUGGCCGCGGUGCAGAAGGAGAGGAGCAAGACCCGGUGUGUCAGUGGUUGAGGGGUUUCCAGCCUUGUGUCUUGGAAAACUAACCAGAAUAGUGCUGUUGUGUUCUUUCUUUCUCUUCUUUCUCUCUCAAUUCCUUCCUGUUUUUGGCCCAAGACUGGACGCGGAGAGAAACAGUCGCCUUCCAGAUUGAGCAGACUUUUGCCAGGAGCAAUGACAAAGGACGAAGCAGAAUAAAAGAGCCUCCAUGGGUCCACUCCUUCCCUGUCCUGGGGCAGUCCCAGCAGAACAGUGUCAGAGCAGGAGGGCUUGGAGGGUGUGAAAUGGGAUUGCUAAAUUGCCCGAGUCUCUGAAAAGAUCCAUAUGUCUGGGCGGCAUCAGGCUUCUGGGCUCAGGGAGGGGCGGAUAACGUCAUCUGCUGGACGGGGUCCGGUUCUCUUCCUUUGGGGAGGAUUCCACAUCAGUGUGACUAGAAGUUGUUAGACUUUGUGAUGACCCAUGUUGGGAACUCGGGGUGCAAGUGUUUGGGGUGUGGAGGAAGGGAGAGGGACAGAGAGUAAACAGGGGUAAAUAAACAGGGAAGGUGAAGUUUCUAAGCUUGGGUCUGUGAAACAGUUAGUAGGGAAAGAGUUUGGAAACCCCACCAUACUGAUUUUUUUCUUUGAAAUUUUUUCUCAUGCCAGGAGAGUUUUGGGGGGAGCCCCUGUGCAGUUGGAUGUUGGGCCAUUUGCCUACUUCGUGGGAAGUCUAGACGCCUGUUCCCAUAACUAACCCUCCAGAGCCAAGGAAGAGUCACUCUCUUCCCCCUCACAUCUUUAACUUCCAAACUGCAGCUUCCUUCGGGGUAGGGGGUGGCAGAUGGCACACAGCUGUGGGGUGCAUCUGGUCUUGCAGUGAUCAGAGGAAGGCGCAAAGGCCAGUUAGAAUCCCAGUGGCUACCCCGGAGGCAUGGCUCCGAAGAUUUGGGGUGGUGCCCCUGACACUCUACCCAGAUCCCAUCUUGGACAGAUUUUCUGCUUUUCCCUAGUCCCCCACACCUCUUCUCCACUCUGACUUCAACUGGAUCAGAGAAGGUUUUGUGAGAGUGGCGAGGCAGCUGCUUCCCAGAUGUGUGUCUUCAGAAAUGGCCAUAUCAAAACAUGGGAGCUUUGAGGAGACUGGUUGGGGUGGGACUUGGGAGAUUCGUCUGAGGAUGUCCUGAAAGGGGAGAGCCAGCGCAGCGGCCGUUCGAAGACCCCCAGAGUGAAGCUGGAGGGCUGCAACUGGAGAAAGAAUGGCAAGGCCCUGGAGUGUUCUCAGCUCUUCUCUCCAAAACUCUGUGUCCAAACAUAUGACUUUAGUACACUUGCCAGCUAAUCUGACUCAUUGUGUGUGUGUUUGCUUCACAAGUAGAACAUAGUCUUCUCCAAGGAGGUCUGGAGUCUGCCACACAACUUCUGAGUAACUCCCCUGUUCCUGCAUUUCUCACUUGGAACAUGAGUAGCUUCUAGUCUGGUCUCCUGAUAACCA